GCCUUCAUAGUGUAGUGUUCAGCACGCUCGACGCGCAUUCGAGAGGUCCGUGGUUCGAGUCCCGGCGAGGGCA
rnacentral:tRNA from 1 species